rnacentral:misc_RNA from 1 species
GUCCAGUUGAGACCGCCGGAGGGAUUGGAGAGGGACUGGUGGAGGUGGGUCAGGCAACGCUCGUCGUUAGGGUCGCCGGCGCAAGGAGGCGGCGCGAAGAGGAUGAGCACGACAGCGAUGGCGGCGGCGAAGUGGUGGUGACGGGACAUUUGGACUUUGGAGACGGUGGUGGGGAACUCACUCCGGGAGUGGAGAUUCUGGAGAGCUUCGAGCUUGUCAUCUGUCUGUCUUCUCCAACAGUCCUACUUUACCUCUCCUCGCAAAAAGAAAGCCGACAUGUGGGCCUGUCUCACUCUUCCCGUCGCACGCGCCAUCAUGCCCACUCUCGCCCAGUCCAGCUCCAGGCCCGUCCACCGCCGCUCGGCCGCUCCUUCCAGCCACCUCUCGCUGUCGCCUGUUCUCGGUUAAUCCUAGAAGCUCGAUGCGAUGGCGACGCUGCUGCGGGCGCCCGUGCUGCACGGCCGUGGCACGUCGUGAGUGGCGGCGGGAACAAGAACAAGCUGGCGCAGCGGUCGUGGUGGGAACGAGGCGGCGGCUGUGUCAGUCGGGCGGGAACGAGGCGGCGGCCUCAAACCAGGCGGGGCGUGCUCGGCCGCGACGUCUUCUGGCUCCGUUUUCUGGAGAAGAAGCAGCAAACACGUGGAGGACUAGCACUACGGGAAGAUGCCGCCCUUCCUGGAGCAACCAUUCAGCUAAAGAUCUGUGCAGCACAGCAGCAGGGAAUCUAACGCAAGUGAAGAACUUCAUGCUGCUGCCAAGCCAGCUGCUGGCUUAACUAGGAUCAAUCAGUGGGCAGGUUUAAUAUUUGAAAUAUCGCUCGGAUGUGCAGAGUAAACAGCAGCAGAUCGUGGGCUCGAAACAUCUGGUCAGUGACAGUUUGCUUGAGAGACUAAUUAAUUGUCUUCUGUUUGGCUCUAUUCAGGUUGGUCUUGUAACGUCUCUCUUUAAGUAACAGCUCGUUGUUUGUCGACCUUAAACCCUAAAACCCGACACUUUUCUUGAGAGGUCUUAACGUGUCUCUUUCAACUGACGACCCUUCACGAACUCACCCGACAAAGGAACCACUGGUUGAAGAAUACGGAUGGAUCCCCCACCGUUGGGGUUCAUAAAGGUAAAUGUCAUUCAAUGCAGCAAUUGCAAAGAAGACAACUCAAUCAACGUCAAAGCUAGUGGCAAGAGACGAGGCCUGCUGGUGGCAAAAGAAUCGAAGGAGAAUAUGGGCUUAUGGAGCAUGCAGUGUUGCAGGGACAGUGUCGCCGACGCAGCAGAGGAAGGAAGCUGCCAUCGGGCUCGGCCUGCAGAGGCGGCAAGAAAGCCCACUGUCACAGCGGUUUUCGACGGCCCGGCCCAUAUAUUGCUCCUCCCAAUCUGCCCUACCUGAACCUGAAAGUGAUGAUCCUGUUUCAAAUACCAUCUGACGAUGACCCGAACCAAAAACUAUUAGGGUGUUUGGUUUAAGGAAUGAGCUAGUCCAUCAUCUUCUCACUACUCACUAUUUUUGUUUGGUUUGUGGAAUGGAAUGAGUUGAUCCAUCACCACAUCAUUCCUCAUAGUUAAUUAGUUAGUUCUAAUAUGAGGAAUAUGGUCAUCCCACCAAAUUUGAGGAAUGAACCCAUGAUGCACCACCUCAAUUUGGAUGUAGUGAUUCCUUAAACCAAACACCCCCUAUAGGUGUCAUGUUGCUAUUUCAGUAAGUUGUUGUUAUCUGUAUUUAUUAAACGUUGAGGAGAAGAC